AUUUACACACAAAAUGGGACCAAAGAUUUGCGCAGCUGAUGGUUGGAAGCUUUGUCUCAGGUUCAGGUGGUCCCGGGUUCAAGCCCCACUUCUCCAGAUGGGCAUAUAAAUGCAAAUACUGAAGGAGAAAGAAGGAAUUGAACCCGGGCCCGCACGCUCAUUAGCCCAAGCUCGAGCCCACUUGACCACUACGGCACACUGGCAUAGCAUGAUCCUUCGGGUGCAUGAUAGUACAAAAUAAAUAUGACCAAAAAGUUGCGCGGAAACUGAGUCAAAAUGGUUUAAAACUUCGACAGAGGUUCGGUUGGGCCCGGGUUCGAGCCCCACAGGCACACAUAAGUUUAACUAUUGAAUAACAGGAAAGAGAAGGAAUUGAACCCACAUCCAUGUGAACAUGAAGCACAUUCACUGACCACUCAACCAUUUUCUGGCUAGUCAAAUCUUAUUCGGCGGUUGUAUUUAUCCUUCGUGUGCAGGAAAGUACAACUAUUACGCAAAAUUUUGCUGAAAUUCACACAAAACGGUUCAGUGGUGUAAAACGUUCCCUUCGGUUUCGAGGGUCUUGGGUUCAAGCCUCACCUGGAUUCAUAAAUGCAGAUAUAGAAGACAAAGAUAGACUCGAACCCACGUCAACGUCAUCAUGGUGCAAAGUCGUAGACCACUUGACUAUUUCGGCUUGUCGAAAAGCUGAUCUGGAAGGUUGUAUUUAUCCUUUGCUGGCAUAUUGCUCAGGGAUAAAUAUGACCAAAAAAUUGCGCAGAAACUCGGAAAAAACGGUUUAGUGGGGUAAAACUCCGCCUCGGGUUCAGUUGGUCUCCAGUUCGAGCCUCACAAAGACGCACCAGUGAAAAUAUUCAAGGGCAGUCAAGAGAGGCAAAGGAAGGAAUUGAACCUGCAACCAUCUGAACACGAGGCAAAGUCCUCGACUGCUUGUCCAUUACCCGCUUACCAAAACUGGAUUUGGAGGUUGUAUUUAUCCCUCGGGUGCAUGAAAGUACAAAAUAAAUAUGACCGAAAAAUUGCGCAGAAACUCAGCUAAAGUAGUCGAGAGGUGUAAAACGUCGCCUUGGGUUCAGGUGGUCUCCGGUUCGAGCCUCACUUGCCCUCAUGGACGCAUAGAUGCCAAUAUGGAAGGACUAACAUAGAACUGAACCCGAGUCAACGCGAACACGUGGCAAGGUCCUAGACCACAUGACCAUCUUGGCGUGUCCAAAUACGAUUUGGAGGUGGUAUUUAUCCUUCACGUGCAUGAAAGUAAAAAUUAAUAUGACACGAAAAAUCGUGCAGAAACUCAGAUUAAAUGGAUGAGUGGUGUAAAAGUUUGCCUCGGGUUCUGAUGGUCUCCGGUUCGAGCCUCAGUUGUCCUCAUGGCUACAUAAAUGCUAAUACUGAAGGACAAAGAAGGAAUUGAACCGAGAUACGUCUGAACAUGAGGUAAGGUUGUAGACCGCUUGUCCAUUUUGACUUGACAAAAACUGAUCUGGAGGUCGGAUUUAUCCUUCACGUGCAGGGAAGUUCAAGACAAAUAUGACCAAAAAAUCUGCGCAGCAACUCGGAUAAAAUAGUCAAGUGGUGUAAAAGCCCGCCUCCGGUAUUGAGGGUUUCGGGUUCGAGCCUCACACGGACCUCUAAAUUCGAAGAUUGAAGGUCGACGAAGGAAUCGAACCCGGAUCCACCUAAACAUGAGGCAAGGUUCUAGACCACUUGACCAUUUCAUCUCACCAAAGCUUACUUUGGAGGUUGUAUUUAUCCUUUGUGCACAUGGAAGUUGAAGAUAAAUAUGACGAAAAAAUCGUGCAAAAAUUCAGAGAAAAUGGCUCAGUGGGGUAAAACUCUGGCUUGGGUUCAGUUGGUCCUGGGUUCGAGCCUCACUGCUCCUCAUGAACGCAUAAAUACAAAGAUUGAAGGACAAAGUCAGAUUCGAACCCGGACCCACCUAAACAUGAGUCGAGGUCCUUGACCACUUGACCAUUUUCCAUUCAUCCAAACUGGCUUUGGGGGUCGCAUUUAUCGUACGACGUCCGCUUUUGCCCUUGGGCCUCGCGUCCACAUGUGGAAUAAAUACGAGCAAAAGUGGAAAAAACCAGCAUGUGAAGUUAGCUCACAGGAUUGUCACAGGCACUCGGUUGCUGGCGGUUUGGGUUCGAAACCCGCAGGGUUCUCCCUUUAGACGUCUUCUUUCGGGUUUUUCAGUCAAAACGUUUUAUUUUUUUGUUCUUUUUUAUUCUUUCUGUUCAAUAAAGUUUUUUAAAAAAAAACAACACAGCGGCAGGUGUGCUAACGUGCGCAGCUGCACGCUAUUUAAGCCGCGACUGAUCGCCUGCGUGUUCUUUCUCCGCCGGCUGACAGCAUCACGUCGUCAGCGCUCUCCGCACGCUUCCACCGGUCAUUCCGCCAUCUGGAGACGAGUCCGUUUGGCCACAGCCCGGCUUGCGUCACUUUCACGUUCCUGUGGGAACACCCGAAACCGCAUUGACGUCCAGCGGUGAGGAUGCGAAAAGUUCUCGACGUCCCGCUUUUGUGUGCAGUUACGACGACCUCGACUUUAUGCGGCGCCGCCUGAGGACCGAGAUGCUGCGGGAAGGAACUGGACCUCGCUGGUUCCCACCAAAACUGCAAUCAGGACCGCCAUCAAUGGAAGUUACUCAUUGCCCUUCGUGUCCACUAGGUGGUGCCCUGGAGAAACUUGGACCGAGUGGUUUUGAGGAUUUCCUUUGACUUUGGGAGGCUUCCAGAACGUGCCAUCGUGGAAAAAGAUCCUGGACCUGCUGGGCAAACUGACGUUCUACAUGAAUGUUCAGAAGAGACUGAGGAACAUGUUCAACGACCUAAACGUCACAAGGUCAUGCUGGUUCUGGAGACGGGGGGAACACACACUCUGGAGGAGAGAAAAAUGCAAAUUUAAACAUUUCUUUUCAUUUUCUUCCUCUGGAUCCUGCACCUGCUGGACAAAGACUGUUCUACAUCACUGCAGGCUGAAGCACAUCAACAACCUCCUGAGUGCUCAGUCCCAAGAAAAAAUGGAGAUCACGGCACAUUGGUCGACGCACUCAAGCUGGUUAUGGUGACCGUCAUCAGCAAAUUCCAAUAAUAUUUAAUCGCAUGUCGCAUUGUCGACGACCACAUCGGAAGGUGCUGAAGCCUGACAAGUUGGAGACAGGCUUGCAAUGUUUGCGCCGCUCAACUUGGUGUGAAUGCAGCAGUUCGAGCACUUGGAUCAAGUUUCAUCUCGUCAAAUUUGUCCUGACUGCCUUUUGUUUGCCAUCAUCCAGUGGAGCGAGAGGAACAAGCUGCACGAGGCUGAGCCGUUGUCAUUUCCGCUGAGGUUGACACGCUACAGCACAAAAUGGAUGCCUUAAACAUUAAACCUCUCAUUCUAAUUCCACCAAACCUGCAUUAAUUUCAAGGCCCGUCGGGGGACCAGAGUCCAGCAUCCCCAAGCACGUUGGACUGAUUUCAUGAUCUGCUUUGUCAAGAUGUCCGUUUUGACGCUGGAGGCAGGGCCGCUUCCCGUCCAGGCCUUCCUCUUCCUCAUCUGCAGGACCAUCCACAAGGCUGAGGAACAUGUUCAGCUUCCUGCAAGGACUCAGUCGCUGGGGGGAAAAACAAACGCACGUCCUCUUUGCUUUGACGGCCUGGUGAAGUGAAGCGGUCAUCCAAGGAAAGAGACUCUUUCGAUGGUGGUGAGGACCGCAGUCUGAGCACCUGGACAGUUCCACAAAAUAGAUUUUCCACACAAUUUUCAUCAUGGGUCCGCACUCUGGUCUGCAAUAGUUUCCCACUGGCCGACUUCACCAGCCAGCGGCAAGGAGACGAUCGUCAAUAUCAUCCAACAUGUCAUGUUUAAAAAAUGUUUGCCUUUUACUUUGCAAAAAAA